rnacentral:rRNA from 1 species
GCUGAACUUAAGCAUAUCAAUAAGCGGGAGGAAAAGAAACCAACAGGGAUUGCCUCAGUAGCGGCGAGUGAAGCGGCAAGAGCUCAGAUUUGAAAUCGUGUUUCGGCACGAGUUGUAGAGUGUAGGCUGGAGUCUCUGUGGAGCGCGGUGUCCAAGUCCCUUGGAACAGGGUGCCUGAGAGGGUGAGAGCCCCGUGGGGUGCUGCGCGAAGCUUUGAGGCCCUGCUGACGAGUCGAGUUGUUUGGGAAUGCAGCUCUAAGCGGGUGGUAAAUUCCAUCUAAGGCUAAAUAUUGGCGAGAGACCGAUAGCGAACAAGUACUGUGAAGGAAAGAUGAAAAGCACUUUGAAAAGAGAGUGAAACAGCACGUGAAAUUGUUGAAAGGGAAGGGUAUUGGGCCCGACAUGGGGAGUGCGCACCGCUGUCUCUUGUAGGCGGCGCUCUGGGCGCUCUCUGGGCCAGCAUCGGUUCUUGCUGCGAGAGAAGUGGUGCCGGAAAGUGGCUCUUCGGAGUGUUAUAGCCGGUGCCGGAUGUCGCGUGCGGGGACCGAGGGCUGCGACAUCUGUCUCGGAUGCUGGCACAACGGCGCAAUACCGCCCGUCUUG